rnacentral:rRNA from 1 species
CGAGCGCAGGCGGAAAAAUAAGUCUAAUGUGAAAGCCCUCGGCUUAACCGAGGAACUGCAUCGGAAACUGUUUUUCUUGAGUGCAGAAGAGGAGAGUGGAACUCCAUGUGUAGCGGUGGAAUGCGUAGAUAUAUGGAAGAACACCAGUGGCGAAGGCGGCUCUCUGGUCUGCAACUGACGCUGAGGCUCGAAAGCAUGGGUAGCGAACAGGAUUAGAUACCCUGGUAGUCCAUGCCGUAAACGAUGAGUGCUAAGUGUUGGGAGGUUUCCGCCUCUCAGUGCUGCAGCUAACGCAUUAAGCACUCCGCCUGGGGAGUACGACCGCAAGGUUGAAACUCAAAGGAAUUGACGGGGGCCCGCACAAGCGGUGGAGCAUGUGGUUUAAUUCGACGCAACGCGAAGAACCUUACCAGGUCUUGACAUCUAGUGCAAUCUGUAGAGAUACGGAGUUCCCUUCGGGGACGCUAAGACAGGUGGUGCAUGGCUGUCGUCAGCUCGUGUCGUGAGAUGUUGGGUUAAGUCCCGCAACGAGCGCAACCCUUGUUAUUAGUUGCCAGCAUUAAGUUGGGCACUCUAAUGAGACUGCCGGUGACAAACCGGAGGAAGGUGGGGAUGACGUCAAGUCAUCAUGCCCCUUAUGACCUGGGCUACACACGUGCUACAAUGGGCAGUACAACGAGAAGCAAGCCUGCGAAGGCAAGCGAAUCUCUGAAAGCUGUUCUCAGUUCGGACUGCAGUCUGCAACUCGACUGCACGAAGCUGGAAUCGCUAGUAAUCGCG